AGAGUUUGAUCCUGGCUCAGAUUGAACGCUGGCGGCAGGCCUAACACAUGCAAGUCGAGCGGUAGCACAGAGAGCUUGCUCUCGGGUGACGAGCGGCGGACGGGUGAGUAAUGUCUGGGAAACUGCCUGAUGGAGGGGGAUAACUACUGGAAACGGUAGCUAAUACCGCAUAACGUCGCAAGACCAAAGUGGGGGACCUUCGGGCCUCAUGCCAUCAGAUGUGCCCAGAUGGGAUUAGCUAGUAGGUGGGGUAACGGCUCACCUAGGCGACGAUCCCUAGCUGGUCUGAGAGGAUGACCAGCCACACUGGAACUGAGACACGGUCCAGACUCCUACGGGAGGCAGCAGUGGGGAAUAUUGCACAAUGGGCGCAAGCCUGAUGCAGCCAUGCCGCGUGUGUGAAGAAGGCCUUCGGGUUGUAAAGCACUUUCAGCGGGGAGGAAGGCGAUAAGGUUAAUAACCUUGUCGAUUGACGUUACCCGCAGAAGAAGCACCGGCUAACUCCGUGCCAGCAGCCGCGGUAAUACGGAGGGUGCAAGCGUUAAUCGGAAUUACUGGGCGUAAAGCGCACGCAGGCGGUCUGUCAAGUCGGAUGUGAAAUCCCCGGGCUCAACCUGGGAACUGCAUUCGAAACUGGCAGGCUAGAGUCUUGUAGAGGGGGGUAGAAUUCCAGGUGUAGCGGUGAAAUGCGUAGAGAUCUGGAGGAAUACCGGUGGCGAAGGCGGCCCCCUGGACAAAGACUGACGCUCAGGUGCGAAAGCGUGGGGAGCAAACAGGAUUAGAUACCCUGGUAGUCCACGCCGUAAACGAUGUCGAUUUGGAGGUUGUGCCCUUGAGGCGUGGCUUCCGGAGCUAACGCGUUAAAUCGACCGCCUGGGGAGUACGGCCGCAAGGUUAAAACUCAAAUGAAUUGACGGGGGCCCGCACAAGCGGUGGAGCAUGUGGUUUAAUUCGAUGCAACGCGAAGAACCUUACCUGGUCUUGACAUCCACAGAACUUAGCAGAGAUGCUUUGGUGCCUUCGGGAACUGUGAGACAGGUGCUGCAUGGCUGUCGUCAGCUCGUGUUGUGAAAUGUUGGGUUAAGUCCCGCAACGAGCGCAACCCUUAUCCUUUGUUGCCAGCGGUCCGGCCGGGAACUCAAAGGAGACUGCCAGUGAUAAACUGGAGGAAGGUGGGGAUGACGUCAAGUCAUCAUGGCCCUUACGACCAGGGCUACACACGUGCUACAAUGGCAUAUACAAAGAGAAGCGACCUCGCGAGAGCAAGCGGACCCCAUAAAGUAUGUCGUAGUCCGGAUUGGAGUCUGCAACUCGACUCCAUGAAGUCGGAAUCGCUAGUAAUCGUAGAUCAGAAUGCUACGGUGAAUACGUUCCCGGGCCUUGUACACACCGCCCGUCACACCAUGGGAGUGGGUUGCAAAAGAAGUAGGUAGCUUAACCUUCGGGAGGGCGCUUACCACUUUGUGAUUCAUGACUGGGGUGAAGUCGUAACAAGGUAACCGUAGGGGAACCUGCGGCUGGAUCACCUCCUU
rnacentral:rRNA from 1 species